rfam:Gossypium raimondii chromosome 5, whole genome shotgun sequence.
AACCCAUGGUAAGGGCACCUUCUCAAUAAAUCCUUAUACCUCUCCCAUGCAUCAUAUAGAGUCUCUAAGUCAAUUGCACGAAGGAAGAGAUAUCAUUCCUCAGCUU